GUCCUAUUAAGAUUGAAAGACCUGCAACAAUAAAUAAACUGACAGAAAAAGUCAUGUCCAUCUUUAAGUUCACAUGUGCUUUCAAAUAUAUGAAAGCAGUGAGAAAUACCAUCAAUAUAUGUGAGCUUAAAGAAUUGCAAGUCACUUCAACAAAGGAUGUGAAAUCCAAAAUAGGCAGGUCAAACCUGUAUAUUUUACCAGCAGAAAAGAUAGGCCAGAGUUCUCCUGAAGAGAGCAGUGACGAGUCAGGAAGCAGUUUGCCUAACCCCCAUUUGGAUGCUAUACCACAAAGAAGAUCAAGGUUGGGUCAUAGAAAUAAUGUAAGAACAAGUCUAGUAUAAUGAUAUUAAGUUAAAAGUUAAAUCAAAGAUUUUUUUUUUAUAGAAAAUCCCAAAUAGGGUUUUUCAUCAACA